UAGUAUUUCAAAGGGGUUAUUAAGGAUAUUUUGCAAAUUUAUAAAAAAGGAGAUUGUAAAAAUCAAAGCCAUAUUUUUUUAAAUUAAUUUUUUGAAUUAAUAUUUUUAGAUAAAUUAAUUUAAUGAUCGAUUGUUUUGUGGCAAUCCUAAGGGAAACCUUUUAUAAUUACUUCCCGAAGUAAAACAUUUUAUUAAGGAAAGGAAAGGAAAUCAACCGAGACUCCGAAAGUAAUGGCGAGUGAAAUCGGAUUAGCCUAAUUUUACUAAAAAUUAAAUAAAAUAAAUUUAUAGAUAAUAUAAGUGGAUGUGGAAUUGGAAAUUCUACUUUCUAAAAAAAAAGAAUUAAACUUAAUUUAUAACUAAAUUUACUUUCACUAUAUAAAAUAUAAAUAAUAAAAAAAAAUUUUUUAUUAUUAAAGUUUAGUGAAAUACUAAAAAAGAUAAAUGUAUAUCUAAGAAAUACAUAUAGUUCUUUAAAAUAAUCAAAGUAAAAUAUAUUUAAUUUUGUAUUAAAUAUAAAAUUAAAAGUACGAUGAGAGUUAACUUGUCGGAAAAUAGGGGAACCAUCCUCUAAGGCUAAGUAUUAUAAAUUUAGCGAUAGAAAAAAGUACCGUAAGGGAAAAAUAUAAGCGUGUAAACGUCUAUUUGAAUUAGUAACUCUAUAAGCAGUCGAAAUUAUCAAUAAUUACGAUAAUGACGGCGUACCUUUUGCAUAAUGGGUCAGCAAGUUAAUAGAAGUAGCAAGGUUAAUAGCCCUAGCGAAAGCGACUGGACAAAUUAAAAAUUAUUAAUUAAACUAAAAAUUUAAAUAAAAUAUAAAUAAUUUUAGUAAUUUUUUUAAUUAUUAACUUUAUUUAUUAGUUUUUAAGUGUUGGAUUAGUUACUUCUUUUAGACCCGAAAGCUAGGUGAUCUUUCCAAGACCAGAUUUAAAUGGAUCGAACGGUUGAAUGUUGCAUAAUUCUCCGAAGAGUUUUGGAAAGCGGUGAAAUGCCAAUCUGACCUAGUGAUAGCUGGUUUUCUACCGAAACAUAUGUAAGUAUGGCGUCUAUACAAAAUUUAUGGAGGUACAGCACUGUAUUUCCCAGUGAAACUUAGGGAUUAAAUUAUUUUUUAGGAUAACAAAUUUAUUAUUAACUUUAAUUUAAUUUUCUCUUUGAUAGCUUAGCUUGCGGGGAUCUUUAAAAUCUUACCAUUGGAAUUCAAACUCGAAAUAACAUAAAUUGUUGAUAGAUAUUCAGACUGCUAAUGCUCAGUUGGGCAGUCAAGACGGAAACAGCCGAGAACACAGAUCAAGGUCCCUAAUGAUUAUUAAGUGAAAUUAAGGAAGUAGCAAAUUGAAUGCAGCUGUGAAGUGAGCUUGGUAGUUGCUACUUUUAAUGAUCGUUGUAACAACGCAUCAGCCUUCAGAUUGUGGCGCCGAAAAUUAAACGGGUCUAAAGUAAUCAACCGAAAUCGUGUUGAUUUAAAAUAAAAAAUUUAUUUUUAUUCUAAAUCCAGGUAGUAGAACAUUCAGUUAAACUUUAAUUAAAAAACAGUGUUUCAUUGUUUUUAGGUUACUGAAGAGAUAAUGCUGACAUGAGUAACGUAAAAAGAAGUUUAUAAUACUUCUCGCCGAAUACGAAAGGGUUAAAUUUUCGAAAAGUUAAAUUACGAUUUGUGAUUGCGGUCUCUAAGGUCUAAAACCAAAGUUUUGACUGAUGAGUAUAUAACAGAAAAUCCAAAUUUAUGGAUCAAGAAAAAAAGUUAGCCUAAAAAAUUUAUAUAAAAAUAAAAUUAAAAAUUUUGUUUUUCUAUUUUAUUUUAUAGGUUUUAAAAUUAAGGCUACCGUACUCUAAACCGACACAGGUUCGUAGGUAGAGAAUACUAAGGCGUAGAGCUAAAAGUUGUUAAGGAACUCGGCAAAUUCUUCUCAUAAGUGUGGCGAUAAGAGAAACCAUUUAGAAUUAAUAAACUAGAUUCAUCUAGUAUUUAAUUCUUUUUUGGUGGCACAAAAUCGGAGGCCCCGACUGUUUACUAAAAACACAGAUCCCAGCAAUGAUUAAUGUCAUAGUAUUGGGGUCGCAAUUUGCCCAAUGCCAGCGGUAUAAGAAAGGAUAAUGAAAGUGACUUUUCGAAAGCUUGGUUAAUAGCGGUCUUAUCUAUGAGGAUCCUAAGGUAGCGUAAUAAUUUGACUAUUAAAUGUAGUCCGGUAUCAAUAGUGUAACGAUGGUCUCACUGUCUCUACAACUUGCUCAGUGAAAUUGAAUUACCCGUGCAGAUGCGGGUUACCUUUAGAGGGACGGGAAGACCCUAUGCAGCUUCUACUGUAGUUAGUUAUCAUGUUGAUCUAGAACAAUCUUAAUUAAUAAUGAAUAGGGAUGUCGAUAGACGUAAGUGGAAAACCUUAGGACUAAGAUUGGGUCGAUGUUUACCUUUUAAUUUAUAAUUAGAGGAAUAUUUGACUAAUUGGCAGUUUGACUGGGGCGGUCGCCUUUAAUAAAGUAGCAAAGUGUAUCCAAAAUUUUAUAUUUAACUUUUAAUUUCAUAAUCAUUUUUAAUUUUUUAUAAAAUAUAAAAAUUUUUUAAUUUUAUUGUAUUAUGAAAUAAAUUAAAAAUUAGUAUUUAAAAUACUAAAUAUUAUUUUAUUUAAAUAUAUUUUAUAUUUUAAAUAGAUAAUAAAAAAAAGUUUUAGACAAAAACGAAUUAAGGUAUGUUAGCAAUUGAAUGGAGAUCAAUUAACCAUGAAAGGUAAAAUAAGUGUAAUGGCGUAAGCAUGCUUAACUGUAAGACCUGCUAAGCGUUGUGGGAAAACGCUAUUGUGGAAGUCGCACAGAUACGUAAGUAGGGCAUAGUGACCCUUCGCUAUAUUAUGGAAUAGACGGGGAUCAAUCGAUAAAAGUUACGCUAGGGAUAACAGGUUAAUAGCCGGAGAGAGUACACAUUGUCACGGCUGUUUGACACCUCGAUAGUCAUAUGUCGAGUAAACCGGGGGAAGAAUCUUGGAAGGGUUCGGCUGUUCGCCGAUUAAAAGGGUACGUGAGUUGGGUUUAAUACGACGUGAGUCAGUAUGGUCCCUAUCUUCUAAAGGAAAAAAUAGUAAAAAGGGGAAGACCUUCUAGUACGAAAGGAUCAAUAGGCUGUGUUUCUAUAGUGUACCAAUUGUCGAAAUAGAGCUAUAAACCUUGAAGGCAAAAGUAAAGGUAAAUUGGCUAAGUACUUCUUGAUUAUCAAAAAACUUUGAGAGGGAAAUAAAGUAGCGCAUAGUUGGGUAGCCACAAACAUAUUAGAUAAAUGCUGAUUGAAUAUAAAGCAAGAAACUAACCCCUAGAUACUAUCUCGGAUUACUCUUAUUUUUAUUUUUAAAUAACUAUUAAAAAUUAUAUAUUUAUAUUUAUUUUUAUAUUUAUAUUUAUAAUUUAUAUUUUAUUUAUAUUUAUAUUUUUUAUAGUGUUCCAUAUUUAAAUUUAGAAUAUAAAUUUAUAUUUUAUAAGAGAAUAUAUUCCGUAUAAUUAAGAAAUAGAUCAUUUCUAGAUAGGAUGCAAAUG
rnacentral:rRNA from 1 species